GACGAACGCUGGCGGCGUGCCUAAUACAUGCAAGUAGAACGCUGAAGGAGGAGCUCGCUUCUCUGGAUGAGUUGCGAACGGGUGAGUAACGCGUAGGUAACCUGCCUGGUAGCGGGGGAUAACUAUUGGAAACGAUAGCUAAUACCGCAUAAUAGUAGAUGUUGCAUGACAUUUGCUUAAAAGGUGCAAUUGCAUCACUACCAGAUGGACCUGCGUUGUAUUAGCUAGUUGGUGGGGUAACGGCUCACCAAGGCGACGAUACAUAGCCGACCUGAGAGGGUGAUCGGCCACACUGGGACUGAGACACGGCCCAGACUCCUACGGGAGGCAGCGGUAGGGAAUCUUCGGCAAUGGACGGAAGUCUGACCGAGCAACGCCGCGUGAGUGAAGAAGGUUUUCGGAUCGUAAAGCUCUGUUGUAAGAGAAGAACGAGUGUGAGAGUGGAAAGUUCACACUGUGACGGUAUCUUACCAGAAAGGGACGGCUAACUACGUG
rnacentral:rRNA from 1 species